UGUGACUGCGUACCUUUUGUAUAAUGGGUCAGCGACUUAUAUUCAGUGGCAAGGUUAACCAUCUAGGGGAGCCGUAGGGAAACCGAGUCUUAACUGGGCGUUCAGUCUCUGGAUAUAGACCCGAAACCAGGUGAUCUAGCCAUGGGCAGGUUGAAGGUUGAGUAACAUCAACUGGAGGACCGAACCGACUAAUGUUGAAAAAUUAGCGGAUGACUUGUGGCUAGGGGUGAAAGGCCAAUCAAACCUGGAGAUAGCUGGUUCUCCCCGAAAGCUAUUUAGGUAGCGCCUCGGACGAAUACUACUGGGGGUAGAGCACUGUUAAGGCUAGGGGGUCAUCCCGACUUACCAACCCUUUGCAAACUCCGAAUACCAGUAAGUACUAUCCGGGAGACACACGGCGGGUGCUAACGUCCGUCGUGGAGAGGGAAACAACCCAGACCGCCAGCUAAGGUCCCAAAUUAUUACUAAGUGGGAAACGAUGUGGGAAGGCUUAGACAGCUAGGAUGUUGGCUUAGAAGCAGCCAUCAUUUAAAGAAAGCGUAAUAGCUC
rnacentral:rRNA from 1 species